GGGGGGCGGGGGGGGGGGGGCGGGGUGGGGGUGGGCGGGGGGGGGGGGGGGGGGCGGGCUUUGGAGGCGUGGGCGGCGGGCGGGUGGGUGCCACGUGGGCAACCUGCCCGGUAGACGGGGGUGCCACCGAGAAGUCGGUGCUAAGCCCGGCUAACACGAACUGUCGCCUUCCGUUUCGUUGACAGACGGAGCAGGCUGUCGCUACCGGAUGAGCCCGCGGCGCAUUAGCUAGUUGUUGCGGUAACGGCUCACCAAGGCGACGAUGCGUAGCCGACCUGAGAGGGUGAUCGGCCACACUGGGACUGAGACACGGCCCAGACUCCUACGGGAGGCAGCAGUAGGGAAUCUUCCGCAAUGGACGAAAGUCUGACGGAGCAACGCCGCGUGAGCGAAGAAGGCCUUCGGGUCGUAAAGCUCUGUUGUUAGGGAAGAACAAGUAACGCAGUAACUGGCGUUACCGUGACGGUACCUAACGAGAAAGCCACGGCUAACUACGUG
rnacentral:rRNA from 1 species